rnacentral:rRNA from 1 species
GAUGAACGCUAGCGGCAGGCCUAAUACAUGCAAGACGAACGGCAAGAUUUUUAGCAAUAAGAGUCCUAGAGUGUCGUAAGGGUGCGUAACACGUAUGCAAUCUGCCCUCAACAGGAGGAUAGCUCCCCGAAAGGGGAAUUAACACUCCAUAAUAUCACAUAAUGGCAUCAUUGAGUGAUUAAAACUGAGGUGGUUGAGGAUGAGCAUGCGCAUGAUUAGUCAGUUGGCGGGGUAACGGCCCACCAAGACGAUGAUCAUUAGGGGAACUGAGAGGUUGAUCCCCCACACUGGCACUGAGAUACGGGCCAGACUCCUACGGGAGGCAGCAGUAGGGAAUAUUGGACAAUGGGUGCGAGCCUGAUCCAGCCAUGCCGCGUGCAGGAAGACGGCCUUCUGGGUUGUAAACUGCUUUUGCCAGGGGAUAAAACGUUUCUGCGGGGAUAAUUGAAGGUACCUGGUGAAUAAGCCACGGCUAACUACGUGCCAGCAGCCGCAGUAACAC